rnacentral:lncRNA from 1 species
UUAAAUUUGUUAAACAUAAAAGGUGAUACCAGGAUGUCUGUAAAUGUUAUACUUUGUCUUUAGGAAACAGAACUUAACAAAAAACUGAGAAAUGAAAUGGCCACAGAAAGGGCAGAGAAGCAGGAGGUAUUGAGAUCCCUCCACCACAGUCAGAGUUUGCUGCAGAGACAGACAGAAUCUCUGAGCCGAGCAGAGAAGGAGCAUCGCAAACUCUGUGAAGAAUAUCAGGUCCUUAAAACAGAACAUGAAUUGAACCAAGAGAGGACUAAAGAAAAAGACGACGGCUU